rnacentral:rRNA from 1 species
CACAAGCGGUGGAUGAUGUGGUUUAAUUCGAUGCAACGCGAAAACCUUACCCGCCUUUGACAUGUACGGAACCCUUUAGAGAUAGAGGGGUGCUCGAAAGAGAGCCGUAACACAGGUGCUGCACGGCUGUCGUCAGCUCGUGUCGUGAGAUGUUGGGUUAAGUCCCGCAACGAGCGCAACCCUUGUCAUUAGUUGCUACAUUCAGUUGGGCACUCUAAUGAGACUGCCGGUGACAAGCCGGAGGAAGGUGGGGAUGACGUCAAGUCCUCAUGGCCCUUAUAGGUGGGGCUACACACGUCAUACAAUGGCUGGUACAAAGGGUUGCCAACCCGCGAGGGGGAGCCAAUCCCACAAAUCCGCUCCUAGUUCGGAUUGGAGUCUGCAACCCGACUCCAUGAAGCUGGAAUCGCUAGUAAUCGCGGAUCAGCAUGCCGCGGUGAAUACGUUCCCGGGCCUU